UACGUAGGGUGCAAGCGUUGUCCGGAAUUACUGGGCGUAAAGCGCGCGUAGGCGGACCUGCAAGUCGGGGGUGAAAGCCCGAGGCUCAACCUCGGAACUGCCUUCGAUACUGCGGGUCUCGAGUCCGGGAGAGGUGAGUGGAAUUCCUAGUGUAGAGGUGAAAUUCGUAGAUAUUAGGAAGAACACCAGUGGCGAAGGCGGCUCACUGGCCCGGUACUGACGCUGAGACGCGAAAGCGUGGGGAGCGAACAGG
rnacentral:rRNA from 1 species